ACAGCCAGGUCUUCAGUCCGCAAGUCAUCACGUCCAUGACAGAUGUGCGUCAUGAUCCGGGACCAGUCAGGUCACUUCUUUCAUGUCUGGCAGUGCUUGGUUGCUGUGCACGUUAUUCAGUUCACACACCGACAGCAAAACGUCAGAAAGUGAUUAAGCUGGAAGUGAAGUUCUAAUAGAGUAUAAAUGGAGUUGUAGAGGAAACAGCCAACUGUGGGAACGUUCAAUCUGCAGACAUUAAAGAGACUAAACAUGCAGCCAAAGCAACUUAGUAAAGGCCAAACCAAUGUAACUGAAGAAAGUGAUUGGGAGAAAAGGAUGAAGAUGUGCCAGAUGACAACCUGCAAGAAUUCCAAGAGAUAAAACACAAAAGUUUGGGAGCUUCCCUGGAGUCUUUAACUCACAGACUUUUCCACAACAAGCCUCCAGCAAGUCAUCAAUUACAGUUCAGGUGUUCCCACCUUGGUACUAGUUUCCACAGAGAUAUCUGCUCUGGUAACUUGUUCUCCAUUUCUGCCAGUCUGUGUCUCCAAUUCUGGGGACAGCGAUUUGCCCUGUGAUCUCACUUCUCUCAUGAAUCUAAGAAGAGUUGUUGAUUUUUCAGUUUGUUCAGCUUUUUCCUUGUUAUUAGGAUGGCGUGGCAACUUCCAAGCUCCCUACAUGAUGGACUGGAAACUGGAAGUCUCAUAAGUCUUUUUACAAUGUAAUAAAACAUGUUAAUUCUCACUAUUUCUAAU
rnacentral:lncRNA from 1 species